UGAUGGCGACCGGCGCACGGGUGAGUAACACGUAUCCAACCUGCCGAUGACUCGGGGAUAGCCUUUCGAAAGAAAGAUUAAUACCCGAUGGCAUAGUUCUCCGCAUGGUUUGAUUAUUAAAGAAUUUCGGUUAUCGAUGGGGAUGCGUUCCAUUAGGCAGUUGGUGGGGUAACGGCCCACCAAGCCUUCGAUGGAUAGGGGUUCUGAGAGGAAGGUCCCCUACAUUGGAACUGAGACACGGUCCAAACUCCUACGGGAGGCAGCAUG
rnacentral:rRNA from 1 species